GCGGAAGCAGCAAUGUUGUUUACACAAUGGCCACCGUCAACGCACAUCUUCGGCAUCGUUCAACUCUUGACGCUUACUUACGUUCUCACUCUAAAGUUAUAAACUCCACCAACAAUAGGAACUGAAAAUGAUAAUAAGUCGCAUACUCCAUCUUCUUUGCCUGGAUCAAAAGGAAAGAAAUUAAUAAAACUACCUACAAUACAUUCGACUAGUGAAAGAAAAACAAAAGCAACAUUUAAUAGCUUGCCUGAUGAGCUCAUAGCUAUCAUCUUAUGGAAAUUAAAAGUUGGAGACCUGGUCAAUGCUUCUCAAGUUUGUAAAAGGUGGCACAAAGUAGCUAA
rnacentral:sRNA from 1 species